rnacentral:rRNA from 1 species
GUUAAGGCUUCAGUAAGGUGACCUGCGGAAGGAUCAUUUACCGAGUUGAUUCGAGCUCCGGCUCGACUCUCCCACCCCAUGUGUACCUACCUCUGUUGCUUUGGCGGGCCGCGGUCCUCCGCACCGACCCCCGUUCGGGGGCCGGCCAGCGCCCGCCAGAGGACCACAAAACUCCAGUCAGUAAACGUCGCAGUCUGAGAAACAAGUUAAUAAACUAAAACUUUCAACAACGGAUCUCUUGGUUCUGGCAUCGAUGAAGAACGCAGCGAAAUGCGAUAAGUAAUGUGAAUUGCAGAAUUCAGUGAAUCAUCGAAUCUUUGAACGCACAUUGCGCCCCUUGGUAUUCCGAGGGGCAUGCCUGUUCGAGCGUCAUUUCAACCCUCAAGCUCUGCUUGGUAUUGGGCUCCGUCCUCCGCGGACGCGCCUCGAAGACCUCGGCGGUGGCGUCUUGCCUCAAGCGUAGUAGAAAACACCUCGCUUUGGAGCGCACGGCGUCGCCCGCCGGACGAACCUUUGAAUUUUUCUCAAGGUUGACCUCGGAUCAGGUAGGGAUACCCGCUGAACUUAAGUGACGGG